UUAAAAGCACACAAGGAAAUACAAUGACAUGAAAAAUAAAAUUUGUCUUAUUUUAUGCUCAAAAGGACCUGGAAAAUCACUUUAAAAUCUAUUUAUCUUUAUAUUUUUCCCAUAUAAAACAGAGAGUGUAAGGAAAAAAAAAAACUCUCAAAAGUAACCCAAGUUAACGGUACAUUUUUACCCCUUUAUUGAGUGCUAUUUACAUGGUGUUAAUGGUAUUUAAUGGUCAUAAUCCUCAUUUUACA
rnacentral:lncRNA from 1 species